UAGUCGUGGAGAAUAGGUGUUGUCACGAUGGUUCACGGAGGGUGAACCGGGGUAAUGACAAUUUAUAUACAGUCUUACAAUGAUCUCAUGCCUAUAAUAUGUCUGAGAAGAUUUACAACGAACAAGGUUCAGUGUUUCACUUUUGAAUAAUCAAAGAGCAAGCUUGCAACAAGUUGAAGCCACUUAUGCUGCUGCUUCUUGGAUGUUACUACAAACACCUUUAAAGUUGCUUUGGAUGCGGUUGGAACUACUUUUGUUGCUCUUUUUCUAGAUGCUGCUGUAGUCAUUUUUUGUUGUUGUACUAUUAGGUUAGUCCAGCUGGUUACACAUCAAACUCUUUAGUACUUUUAACUUCUAAGAUCCAGGUCCUUUCAUUUUUGUUUUCUUCUGUAUAUGCUCUGUGUUCUCUGGCUUUAGUUUCGAGCAGUCUUACUAAUGAUACUUAGUAUCAAAAUCAAACCAUAAUAUCCCUUGAAAACAACUAUCGCAACUAGGGGUUGAAAGGGGUAUGCUAUGCAGCUCUUUUGUGGGUCUGCCAUUUUCCCGUCAUUAUAUCUCUGUACAAUAACAACGUAAUCAAUAAGCUUGUAAAGAUCUAUUGGAUUUACAUUGAAAAGCUCUUCUUGACUGUA